GACGAACGCUGGCGGCGUGCUUAACACAUGCAAGUCGUACGGUAAGGCCCUUUCGGGGGUCCACGAGUGGCGAACGGGUGAGUAACACGUGAGUAACCUGCCCACAACUUUGGGAUAACGCUAGGAAACUGGUGCUAAUACUGGAUAUGUGCUCCUGCUGCAUGGUGGGGGUUGGAAAGCUCCGGCGGUUGUGGAUGGACCCGCGGCCUAUCAGCUUGUUGGUGGGGUAGUGGCCUACCAAGGCGGCGACGGGUAGCCGGCCUGAGAGGGUGACCGGCCACAUUGGGACUGAGAUACGGCCCAGACUCCUACGGGAGGCAGCAGUGGGGAAUAUUGGACAAUGGGCGCAAGCCUGAUGCAGCAACGCCGCGUGCGGGAUGACGGCCUUCGGGUUGUAAACCGCUUUCAGCAGGGACGAAGCUUUUUGUGACGGUACCUGCAGAAGAAGCACCGGCUAACUACGUG
rnacentral:rRNA from 1 species